GACGAACGCUGGCGGUAUGCUUAACACAUGCAAGUCGAACGAGACGGGAUGGAAGGAGCCUUCGGGUGACGGAAAUCCUAGAAAGUGGCGAACGGGUGAGUAACGCGUGGGUAACCUGCCCUAUGGAAAGGAAUAGCCUCGGGAAACUGGGAGUAAUGCCUUAUAAUAUACAGAAGUCGCAUGGCUUUUGUAUUAAACGCUCCGGUGCCAUAGGAUGGACCCGCGUCCCAUUAGCUAGUUGGUGAGAUAACAGCCCACCAAGGCGACGAUGGGUAACCGGUCUGAGAGGGCGAACGGUCACACUGGAACUGAGACACGGUCCAGACUCCUACGGGAGGCAGCAGUGGGGAAUAUUGCGCAAUGGGGGCAACCCUGACGCAGCAAUACCGCGUGAGUGAAGAAGGUUUUCGGAUCGUAAAGCUCUGUUAUUGGGGAAGAAAAAAGACGGUACCCAAGAAGAAAGUCCCGGCUAACUACGUGCCAGCCGCCGCAGUAA
rnacentral:rRNA from 1 species